rnacentral:lncRNA from 1 species
CGGAGAAAUCUUGGUUCCCGCCACCACUGUUGUUAAACGCGUUUGCAGUACCAUGGUUUUCGUAUUUUGAUGCUUCGGCUUCUUCAGCCUCAAGCAUUGCGAGGAGGUUUUUCAUCACACGAGAUGACAUUCUUAUAACUUUACUUAAAUAUUGCUAUUAGAAUUUUUGUAUUUGGAUGGUGUUAAUGUUGCAACCAAAACCUUAUUAUAUAGAUGAAAGGAUAGGAAUAUGAUGCUUUUGCUUGUUGUUCACGCGUGAAACUCGUUUUUAUACCUUGGAAUCAAAUUAUAUUUAUGCAUAAUUACAUGUCUUUGGAUUAUACCCAAGAGUUCUUCUCAACAGCAUAUUAGAUUCCCAAACAUGAUCAAGAUAUAACAAGCAUUAUAUAGGAGAAUAAAUAUAAACAUAAUAUAAUAACUAAAACCGGCAUAAAGUCAUGAUUACAAGUAAUACAUAUAUGUCAUAAUAGAGUGAAAAUAUAACUCGACUAAAAAAGAAUUUGAUAUUUAUUAGUAUUUUUAGUAAAUAAUCACGAGUUUGGUUUAUUGAGAGUUAGACUAAAAAAAAUCUCAAGGACAAUUUGCGCAAAGAUGUGCAGAAAAAGGUGUUUGUAAUUGAACCUUAAAUGCUUGAACAAUGACCAAAGGAAUGUAAAUUCUAACAACAAUAAAUUUUGGAUAAAGAUAAUAAAUAAAAAGCGUGACAAAAGUCAUAAAAAAAUAACAAUGCUUUAAUUUAAAAUACUUGAAGAAUUUAAAGAGUGGCAUUUAAUCAUACAGUAUCUCACAAAUUGUUUCUCUAUGCAACUUGGGUAUUUUAGUUUUAUAGAGAACAUAUGAAAUUUGUGACCUUGAUCCCAAUAAUGAGAUCAGUUAUAUAUAAUAAUACAAUAGUAACCAUCGACAACAACUAUUUCCACAAGAUUUGAUAUGUAUCCCAUGACGUGGGUUUCAACGCUCUAACUUGCUUCCACAUUAAAACUAUUGAAAAUCACUUACUAUGUUGAUAACUGCUCUUAAACCUCUUAACUGCCUCUAUUGAGAGUCUUUGGUCGACUCCUAUAAUAAUUUUGAGAUAUAUUCAUAACCGCAUCCUAUUGACUUAAUAAUAUCCCAAGUUUCCAACAUCUGGUGGAUGUUUUGAACUCGACCCUUGUCGAAGAGCUGGUUCACCUAUUCCUUUUUUAGAUUGUGAACAUGUUUCGAAGAGAGACUGAUCUUGAUCUUAUGGAUAUAUUCUUGAGACUCUUACAAACCAUGCUACACGGGCUAUGCCCCAUAUCAUAUGACAAAGAGGUAUAACCAUCUUUAGUCGACGUGGUGGAUAUGUUAAAGUUAUACUUGGGGCUCUUGACAAUUAACAUUUUCAGACGUGGUUAUUAACAUUCUUUGUUAAAUUCCUUCAACUAAAAUUUGCAUGCUAAUAGAUGCUCCAAAAAAUGCCACUUUCGAUCAUAUUAUCAGAUGGAGCAAAAGGUGGGGUUUUCACUAACUUCUCGAUAUAUAUAAAAAAAAAAUAAUCAAGCGAAAGUGACAAAUAAAAUUUUGGAUUUAAAUAUGUUUGUGGUCCUCAUAAAUAUUUCAAAUUUUGUUUUUAAUCUUUUAAAAUAUUUGUUUCAGAGAAUAGUCCUUUCAAAAUUUUGCAUCUCCACCAUCAUGCCGUGAGAAAUAAAAGAGGGCAUGUCAAAGAAAAGGCAGUGAGUUCACAUCAGAGGUUGCACGCGAAGUGGCUGAAAAGAUUGUAAGUUGAUACUUUUUUCAACAAUAUUUAUUUUUGUUAAAUCAAUUUGGUAAAUAUGAAAUUUUAUAUAUGUUGUAGAAUUUACUGGUUGAUUAAUCUAAAGUUGGCCUCUUCGUUCCAAAAGAUCGUCAUGAUAUCUUGGUAGAAGAGAUUGGAAUCGAGAAGCAUCAUGGACGUGUCUGUGAUCUUGGAAGAGACAUUGACUUCAAGUCACAUUUUGGACCAUCUAAAUCAUAUAGGCAAGUAAAUAGUAGGAGAAAGAUUGAAGAGAUAGUUGUUGUAUAAGUGAGGGAGGUAACAGAGAUGUGAAUUCAAGAGGAGAGGGGGAAUUUGUUGCAGUAGGUGCGGGAGACUGUUUAGAAGGAGCAAGAGGAGCGAAAGAGGUUGGUCGAGGAGAAGCGAAAUAAGUCAAAUGAGGAAGAGCUUGAGAUGGUGUAUGAGAAGUGUAUCCGCGAUGUGUUUGAGGUAUAAGUAUAGUAAAAAAAAUGGGUUGUAUGUUGUUGUUUUUAUUGUUUGUGAAUUUUAAUAUUUGUAUUGUAUUCCUGUUAUUUUUAUGAUACAAAAAUUGAAUUCAUUGGGUUUACUUAACUAAUCAAUUUCAAAUGCCUAGUUGUGCAAUCAUGAUAAAGUUAUGGGUGGUACAAGCACGAAAGAAAGUUUUUUUGUCCACCAGGUGUUAGCAGGGAUUUUCGACAAAGAAAAAUACCUCAGCAAACAGGUCAAAGUUCGGGACAUGUUGACUUUUGAUGACGUGUACACAGUUUGGAGUCCCAAGUGAAAAGAAAUUGGGACUUAGUAUUUUUUGGUAAUAUUGUAGAAACAUUUCAACAACGAAGUUCUCGACAUCACCAAGUGCAUCGAAGAAGCAGUUAUUUAGGUGCACAUAGAGAGAAUGUAAGGCGAAAUGCAUGCAGGCUUCUACGUGGUGAAAGCUGAAAAUGUGAACGUUGAAAGCAAUUAUUUCUUACUAGUGUAUAUAGCAGACUCAUUUGUAAAAUUUGAGGUGUUCAUUUCAUCAUAAAAUCUCACUUACACUCGAAGCACCAGCGCUAAGAGAAAAUAGUUUUCAUUGAGAGAAUGUAUGAACCAUAAAACACUAAUCUUUACUUUAAUCCAAAAGUCUUUCAAUUCAGUUUACUUUUCUGUUGCUUUCAUCCAUACACAAUUUUAGUGCUUUCGUUUUACUUUGGUUUUAAUUAAUAUUUCGCUAUAUCUCUAUCGAGAUUACACAUUUACGCUUUUCUGAUGACAUCUUUUUCAAACUCUCUUAAAAAAUCAUUAUCUGAUUUAGAAAUUUCUUUAAAUGAUUUUUUCAUAUCAUUUUCAAAAAAAUUUAAACCUUCUAAAAAUGCAUAAAUUGAUUUUUGCAUAUCUGUAUUUUGAAUGAGUGAGUGUUGUUGAAGCUGUGAAACUAUUGUAUUGUUGCAAAUGUGGAGAGAUAGUUGUACUUUGAUGGUGAUAGUUGUAUGAAGAGUAUGGGUGUAGCCAUAGUUAAAACCUAAAUUGGUGAUGUGGUUGGAAGAAUGGUGGUGGAAUAAAAUGGAUAAGUGUAGGGGGAAUAAGUUUGUAUGAUAAGUAUAAUCCAUUAGAGGAUAUGAAUGCAUGAAUGAAAGAACCAAUUGAUAGAGAGCUUAAACCUAAGUUGCUAGAAAAUAAAAGAAAAACAAACUAAAUAAAAUAAAAGAGACUAAAUUUAAAUACAUCAUAGUCAUCCAUCCAUAUGACACAAUUCUAAAAACUUAAAAACCUUCUUGAAUAUCGUACUAAUUAAUAUAUAUUAGAAUGCUAAUUAAAAUAUCUAAUCAAUAAUUAAUAAAUUUUCUCUAUCAAUGUGUGAUCAGCAACCUAUUCUUACCUCAAUCUUAAUAUAGCUAGAUUAAUUUGAAGUUUGUUCUCUACGUUUGAUUGUUUUUGGUUCGUUUGGAAUAAAUAUUUUAUGCUGAAAGAGAAAAUUUGUCAUUUUUUUUAUAAAUUAGUUAUAAAAAUUUUAAAAAAUAAAUAACAUAGGAUUGAAUUGUGAAAUGAUUAUACGUAAUCUUUAAUUUUUUAAAAUACCAAAUAAAUAUUAAAAUAUUAAUUUAGUUCUUAAAAAUGCCCCAUCCAAACAAGUUCAAUCCAACUUGUAAGGGAAAGAAUUAAGUGCUACUUGUUCAAAUGAGGAUGUGGUUUGAUAAUUUAUUCUAAACACCAAACAAGUAGGAUUCGUUUUGAUGUGAAAAGUUUAGGAGAAUAUAUCCAUAAUGAAUAAGUUCAUUCCUAUCCGCAUUUGUGCUGCAUGGUAGAUAAGUAUUCCUACCCAUUUUUAGUUAAAGCCAAGUUCCAUGUUUUUUUUUUAAUUUAAGUUUAUAUAUAUAAUAAUAUAUAUAAUAUAAUAUAUAUAAUAUAAGAUGAAAGAAUCUAUUAAUAAUAUAUGAUACACAUAGGGGGAUAAAAUUUUGUAUAGGUCUCCUAUAACAAAUAAUAUAAUUUACUAUAACCUCAUCUAAUAAAUACCCGAUGUAAUCCUUCUAUCUCACUAUGAAUGAUUCAGUUGACCAUUUCUCAUAUAUUAAGAAAAAAGAAUAAAUGAAAGAGAGAAUGAUAUUUUUACUAAAGUGCAUUUAUUAUGUAUUGAGAAUGAGGGUAAAAUUGAAAAAAUGUGUAUUGAAAAUUGAAAUUGAUUAUUCAUUUUAAGAUGCUAUUUUAUUUUAAGAUGCUAUUUUAUUUUAAGUGUGUCAUAUUUAAAAAUUAAAAUUAAAAUCAAUUUCCUUGGUUCUACAAAAACCUUUGGGAUAAAUUGACUAAGGGAUAAAUCUUGAGUGUGUCAUAUUUCUUUUAUAAUGACAUCAUUCUUUUUUAUUUUACUCUUUAUUUUUUAUUUAAACCUAACUUAUUUGCUACUGCUUAAACUUGCAAACAUCAUUCUCUGAGGUGAGUUGUAAGGCAGAAAAAUAUUUAAGGUUUUUUAAUUAGUUAAGAAAAUUUUCAAGGUUAUAUGUUGUUGUUGCUGCUAAUGAUGUUGUUGUUGUUAUUAUUUUUGUUGUUGUUGUUUUUGUUGUCGUUUUUGUUAUUUUCCAACUUUGAACAAAAUAUUUUUCUCUCUCUUGGGAUCCAUCUCACAGAAUGACGUUGUUGUUGAUUCCACCUUUUGCAAUUCAUUUUUAUAUUUGGCAGAAUUUCUCAAUGUUGUCAUCAAUUAAAAAUUCAAUGAUUAAAUUCUUUUCUUGAUCAAUAAUUUUAAGAAACGUAUUCCAAAUCAUACUUGAAAAUAUGACAACCCAAAAGAAAUGAGGUUUAAGAAAUCAUAUAUUUUGUUUAGUUAAAACUCAUUUCUCGCUAUGCUAGAUACUUUGAAUUUUUUUAGUUUUAUAAUAAAUUCAAUACAACAUCCUGAAUCCUAACACUAAAACUCAUAUUUAUACUAAACGUAUAAUACUUGCUUGUAACGUCGAAAUGUUUGAUUAAAAUCCCUUUUCAAAAAACUUGUAAGUCUCAAUCCCUUACACAUGUGACUUUAACUUGUCUUUAAAGAUCAUAUUCAUUAUUCUCAUGUAGGUUACCUCUGCAUUCAUGAGACCGAAGGCCAUCACUUUGUAGUAGAAGUUCUCUACUUCUAUCAUGAAUGAUGUUUUGUUACAAUCAUUUGGGUCCAUGUUAUAGGGUUGUAACUUAAAUAAGCAUUUGUAAACGAUAAGAGUUAGAGUUCCAUAAAGUUAUCCACCAAUUUGUUUAUGUUUGAUACGGUUGAAUCUGAGGAAGUUGAUAAAUGGUUUUAUCAAAUAGAUCAUAUUAUAUUAGACCAUUAUUUGAAAAUCUAAAACAACACCUGAUUGCAGCCCACCAAAGUUACUAAUUAUUUUUUAAAUCGUCAAAGUUAGGGAAAAUGGAUUGUGUGUACGUUUAGCUUAUAAAAAACAUUUUUGAAAAAAAUACUUUCCACGGAUCCAUUUUGGCGAUGUAACAUAAAAAUCCGAAGAAAUAUGUAGAGAUUUCAGGCUAAAAGAAAAUACUAAUAGCAACCAUUAAAACAUAUGGAGAUUUAUUAUAGGGACACUAGUGCCUUUAUUUUAAACCUCCUAUACAUCAACAUACAUCAAUUGAAACUAUAUAUAGCUUCAAUUUCAUUAUUACUUGCAUAUAGCAUAUUUAAGAUCACAUAUACAUAUAAUAUAAAAACUUAUAGUUCUUGUGGAUGCAUGAGAGUUAACCUCAGUAUACCUCCAUUGAAAGUACCACUGUUAUUUACGGUGCGACCUCCAACAUUGUUGGUGGUGCGGUACUUCUUUCGGUCCCCGGAAUUGGCACCGCUGUUGAUUCUGGCACCGGAGAAAUCUUGGUUCCCGCCACCACGGUUGUUAAACGCGUUUGCAGUACCAUAGUUUUCGUAUUUUGGUGCUUCGGCUUCUUCAGCCUCAAGCAUUGCGAGGAGGUUUUUCAUCACUCGAGAUGACAUUCUUAUAACUUUACUUAAAUAUUGCUAUUAGAAUUUUUGUAUUUGGAUGGUGUUAAUGUUGCAACCAAAACCUUAUUAUAUAG